GUGAGGAAUAUUGGUCAAUGGGCGAGAGCCUGAACCAGCCAAGUCGCGUGAAGGAUGAAGGUUUUAUGAAUUGUAAACUUCUUUUGCAGGGGAAUAAAGUGCAGGACGUGUCCUGUUUUGUAUGUACCCUGAGAAUAAGGAUCGGCUAACUCCGUGCCAGCAGCCGCGGUAAUACGGAGGAUCCGAGCGUUAUCCGGAUUUAUUGGGUUUAAAGGGUGCGUAGGUGGUUUGAUAAGUCAGCGGUGAAAGUUUGCCGCUUAACUGUAAAAAUGCCGUUGAAACUGUCGGACUUGAGUGUAAAUGAGGUAGGCGGAAUGCGUGGUGUAGCGGUGAAAUGCAUAGAUAUCACGCAGAACUCCGAUUGCGAAGGCAGCUUACUAAGCUACAACUGACACUGAAGCACGAAAGCGUGGGGAUCAAACAGGAUUAGAUACCCGUGUAGUCC
rnacentral:rRNA from 1 species